rnacentral:misc_RNA from 1 species
GAUGAAGAACGCAGCGAAAUGCGAUAAGUAAUGUGAAUUGUAGAAUUCAGUGAAUCAUCGAAUCUUUGAACGCACAUUGCGCCCGCUAGUAUUCUGGCGGGCAUGCCUGUCCGAGCGUCAUUUCAACCCUCAAGCCCCCGGGCUUGGUGUUGGGGAUCGGCGAGCCUCCGCGCCCGCCGUCCCCUAAAUCUAGUGGCGGUCUCGCUGUAGCUUCCUCUGCGUAGUAGCACACCUCGCACUGGGAAACAGCGCGGCCACGCCGUUAAACCCCCAACUUCUGAACGUUUGACCUCGGAUCAGGUAGGAAUACCCGCUGAACUUAAGCAUAUCAAUAAGCGGAGGA